rnacentral:rRNA from 1 species
AUUGAACGCUGGCGGCAGGCCUAACACAUGCAAGUCGAGCGGAUGAAGGGGGCUUGCUCCUGGAUUCAGCGGCGGACGGGUGAGUAAUGCCUAGGAAUCUGCCUGGUAGUGGGGGAUAACGUCCGGUAACGGGCGCUGAUACCGCAUACGUCCUGAGGUAGAAAGUGGGGGAUCUUCGGACCGUACGCUACCAGAUGAGCCUAGGUUGGAUUAGUUAGUUGGUGGGGUAAGGGCCUACCAAGGCGACGAUCCGUAACUGGUCUGAGAGGAUGAUCAGUCACACUGGAACUGAGACACGGUCCCGACUCCUACGGGAGGCAGCAGUAGGGAAUAUUGGACAAUGGGCGAAAGCCUGAUCCAGCCAUGCCGCGUGUGUGAAGAAGGUCUUCGGAUUGUAAAGCACUUUAAGUUGGGAGGAAGGGCAGUAAGUUUAUACCUUGCUGUUUUGACGUUACCAACAGAAUAAGCACCGGCUAACUUCGUG